rnacentral:rRNA from 1 species
AUACGUAGGGUGCAAGCGUUAAUCGGAAUUACUGGGCGUAAAGCGUGCGCAGGCGGUUCGGAAAGAAGGAUGUGAAAGCCCAGGGCUCAACCUUGGAACUGCAUUCUUAACUACCGAACUAGAGUAUGUCAGAGGGGGGUAGAAUUCCGCGUGUAGCAGUGAAAUGCGUAGAUAUGCGGAGGAAUACCGAUGGCGAAGGCAGCCCCCUGGGAUAAUACUGACGCUCAUGCACGAAAGCGUGGGUAGCAAACAGGAUUAGAUACCCUGGUAGUCCACGCCCUAAACGAUGUCAACUAGCUGUUGGGCCCUUCGGGGCUUAGUAGCGUAGCUAACGCGUGAAGUUGACCGCCUGGGGAGUACGGUCGCAAGAUUAAAACUCAAAUGAAUUGACGGGG